GAACCAUAAGUGUUACCAAAACUCUUUUUUUAUUUGUGGGAUAAUUGUGCUCUCUACCAAAACCAUGCUCUUAGACUACUAAUAUAAAAUAACAAUAUGGGAAUCUUAUGGGAUCAAAUAAAAGUUAGUCACCAAAUCUACAUGGACCACAAAAUGACAAAGUGUGUUUAUUGUCCAUACCAAUCAGGCCCACUGCCCCACUCUAUUGAAACCCUACCCUGCGAGGGAAUAUAUAAAGCUCAGCGAAAUCUAUGUUCCCAGAAAACCAUGAAGGUGAACUGAACUGUUCUCACACUCCACACCUACAACUUGUGACAUCGUAAUCAAUAGAUAUUGUGAUAUCGUAAUCAAUAGGUAUUGUAGUAUUCUAAUGGAUUUAUAUUUCAUUUUCCUAGCUACAAAUCCUCAACUAACUCACAAAAACAGGAACUUCUAACUCCAGAAACUAUUGUCCAACAAAAUACCUUCCAAAUAGGUCGUCAUACUCAUGAAUCAAUCAAUUGUACUUACUUUACCAUACAAAAAAGAGCAACUAAUCCAAGAAAUAAUUUGUGCAAGUGCAAGCUGCAUAUCAUUGGCAUUGGAGUAAUCCUGGAUUCCUGGACCAUCUAUUGUGGAGAAAUAUUGUGCCCAUACGGUAAGCAUAUUUUAGUGGAAAUGGGGUUUGGAACUAAACAGAUUUAUAAGCUAUCAGAGUCGAGAAGAGGGAAAAUUGCUAUGAGAAAAAAAGGAAAAGGAAAUACAUAAUUUUAGAUCUUCGGUAGAAGCUAAUCAUUUAAGCUUGAUUGCUUAAAAAUAAAGAAAAUCAAUUAACCAAAUUAGCACAACGCACGCAAAGGUUAGAUGAUGAGAUCACUAAAAAUAGCACCUCCUUGCACACAAGGCAAACACUUUAGCCGAGCUAAUCAUUUAACCUUGAGUUGCUUGCUUCUGAAACAUCUUACAAUUUGACAUGCUUCACUGUUCGUGCAUGCAGAGAACAAGGAAUCAAUAGAAUUUGGCGGCAAACCAAGUGCUGCUUACUGGAUAAUUAAAGACAUUCUUUCCCACUAAAACAUAAUCAGGUAGUCAGAGAAAUAAUGAAGUCAUACCAUAUAUUGCUCCCAGUGUAGCAAUCCAAUCCGAUAAUCUUAGAAAGUGAUAGCUGUAAAGCAGAAAACGAUGUGUGACCGAUCUAUCUGUUCACAUGCCAAAUUGAGAACGGGAGUGGGGUCACGUCAGGAAUCAGGUUGGUAAUACGUUGAGUAGGUGGCGAGUGGGAGAGUUUUGAAGCAUCGACGGUGGAAACAUGGCAAGGGUUGGGCGGUGUACGGUGUACCUCCAUGGUGUGUUUCAAGCGACUGUACUUCCGAAGCUCCCUGACGACGUGAUUGAGCUGAUAGUUCUGCACUGUGCGGCCCUCCUCCGCCCAUCGCCGCAGCACCACCACCACGCUACGCUUCGGGUAGAUGAGCUUCAGCAGGCGCUGCCCUGGUGUGUCCCCACUCCCCGUAGUGCCGCCCGCGUGACCGCCUCGGGCUGAGGAGUAAUGGCGCUGGUCAGCCGUGGGGAUGAGAGCUCGCCGGCCGGGAAACGGAGGCUCGCCGGCCGGGAUGAGAGCGGCCACGCGAGAGCCGCCGCGCCAGAGCCGCGCGACCGACGGAGAGCCUGCGUGCGGGCGUCUCUAGGUUUUUUUGCUAAAUAGGCCGUAUACACUUGAAUUGAUAGAUGGGCCUCAAAUAGGCCAGCCAAAUAAAUUCCAUCUUCUCUACCGCGGCGCAAAUAAAUGGUACCAUAUCGGCCAGCAAAAGAGAGCGGUAGCAACUUAUAAACGUGCCUGCUAUGGAGAAAGCAAUCAGCUCUUGUAAUCAGUUAGUGGUAUUGUGAACAUGUGUCAAAUUUUUGCGCGCGCGGAUGGACGAUCCAGAUUGAACAACAGCGAUGCAGAUGGACGAUCCAGAUUGAACAACAGCGAUGGACGCUCCAGAUUGAACGAAGGCAGAACGGCAGGCUACCCUUAGAGCCUUAAUAAGUAGUAGAGAUACUCAGAGCUCCACCGCUCGGUGGGACCCACAGUUCAGAAUGAUUCGCUAUUCUAGCGAAGAGAAGGUGUUUUUUCUGACCUUCGGCUAAUGGCCUUCAUUCACAUCACAGUUUGAAUUUGUUACAAAGAAACAAAUUAAUAUUGCGUGUGGCUACUGUUGGGGCCUUCCUCUUCCGAAGGUCCUAAAAAACAUGACUAACCACAUGUUUUCAGCAUGAUAUGGAUUAUUACAGGGAGCUUUGGCUUCAGGACGAAAGUUUUCUCCCAUGGCAAAGACAUACGAGGUAAAGAUAUAAUCCAAAGACGAUAAGAAUGAACGCCGAAGCUAUAGCCGAAGAGUAAUAACUUCGGCUUAAAAUGGUGAUGAAGGCUAAACAUGAUGCUGACAGGAAUGGAAAAGGACCAGCUAGUCCUUAAUGAUUUAUGUUAUGGUCAUAAGUAAGUGUCAGGGACAUAAAUGUACUUUUACUCGGGCUACGUCCCGUGCCUAUAAAUAGAUGAACAGUAGCACCGUACUGUUCAGGUUGGAUUGUAAUCACUCUCGCAUCAAGACCUUCAAACAAGCCGAAGGUAUCAAUGUAAUAACAACUUUGUUAAUGUUAAUGUUAAUGUUAAUAUUAUGAAAUAUAAAUGUGAAAAAACCAAUGAAUUACAUUCAUUAUCGUUAUGUAUUCUUAUCUAUCCAUGAAAUGAUGAAUGCAUGUCCUUCAUGACCUUCGUCUGAUGAUCAUUAUAUCCGAAAUGAGGUAAUGCUUCAGAGGACGAAGGUCCUUAAUACUUAAUAAUUGUGCUGUAUUGUUCUUGAUUCACAACAUUUAACAACAAGUGACCAACAGGUAUAGGGCUUCGGGCUCGGGUUUUAUGCCCAGCUCUAAAGGCUGCCACACAACCCUUCACUACAAAGCACUACGCUGUGCUUUGGUGGAUAGUAUAAAAUACAAGACACAAAACUGUCGAUGACACUCUUAACAUUAUUAUAUAGUUAAGUUUGAAAUAAUAAAUAAGAUAGAGUAUGUGUUGGAGAUAGUGCUAGACGAAAUGCUCGUGGCUCGUUGGCUCGCUCAGUUCAUGGUCAGCUCGGCUCGGCUCGGAUCGGCUUGUUUGAAUUUUUUCACGAGUUGAGCUCACAUCCUAGCUCGGUUCGUUAACGAGCCAUCUCGGUUCGUUAACCAACCAGCUCGCGAGCUAAACGAGCUACCAUAUUCCAGCAAAACAAAACUAUAUGUAUAUCAUUUAUGGAAUAAUUGAUGAACAUGUUAUAUGUAUGUGAGGUGUCUAUGUCCUAUGAGUUAAACUAAUGAUUAAUGAACUAUGUCUAUGUGUUAAAUUGGUCUAUGUAAAUAUAAUUGUAGGUUAAACUGAUGAACAUGUAUGUGACUUGUGAAUUGAUGAGUAAUGAAUUGUGCUAGUUUGGUGUUACAUUGACGUGGUUUGUGAAACUAUGAGUAUAAUUACUAUUUUUUAUUGUUAAAUUAGUUUGAAAUUAAAUAAAAAUAAUUAUUAUGUACAUAUUAUUUUUUAUGUCUGGCUCGCGAGCUAAAUGAGCCAGGUCGAGCUCGUAAACGAGCUGAGCCGAGUUGACUCUAUGGCUAGUUAGCUUAACGAGUCGAGUCGAGCUGGCUCAUUAGCUUAACGAGCCACCUCGAACUCGGACGAGCCAAGACGAUCUGGCUCGUUAUCCAGCCCUAGCUGGAGAUGACUUAGGAUGUGUUUGGUUUAAGGUGAAAGUAGGAUAAGACAGGAUCAAUGUCGCCCCCUCGAUUUUUUUAGAUCACGCCGCCACAAAAAAAUUUCUGCGAUGUUCACACCAUUUCUGCAUAACUAUCAUCUAAACACACCACUUCACAAGUUCGUGUGUGUGGAGACUGAGGCUGAACUUCAGCUAAACGUCUUCGGUCACUCGUGCUGGUCGCGCGGCGAUCUACGCCUCUCCGUCCUCCAAACGAAACCCUAACCCGCGCAUCCAACCUCCAUCCAUCCUCCGAGCCCCAAACUCCAAACCCUAGACCCCUCCCCCUGCCUUCGCGGCCGAUGGGCGCAGAUGAGCAGCCAUCUCCGACGCGGAAACGCGACCGCGAGGAAGGGGAGGACCUCUCCGACGGGGGCGCCGCCGAGAAGCGGCCGCGCGCCGAGGUCGCGUCCCUGCUGGGGCUGGCCACCUACGAGGACGAGGAGGAAGACGAAGCGGCCAGGGGUCACACGAAUGGCCGACACGCGGUGGAGCCUGAGCUAGAGGACGACGAGGAUGAUGAUGAUGAGGACGACGACGUGAGGAGGGCUCCUGAGAGGAGGCCCAGACAGGUAGAGCUGCGCCGGGACUGCCCAUACCUCGACACCGUGAACAGACAGGUGUGCACUUGCAUUCAAUGUCAAUUUCGUGUGCCUUGGUGCGAAUUUGCUGGCUUAAACGCCGUGUUUUGCUCACAGCUCAAGAGUGACCUGAGAUAGACGAAGUACUAUUUACUGUCGAAUUAUCAGUUACUGAUUGUGUUAGAGAUGUAUAUAAUCUACGCGAUUUGAAGACUGUAAUGGCUGAUUAACAUGUACCAGUAUCUUGAAAAUGAAUUCCAGUAUUAUGGCGGAGUAACAUCCUAGCAGCUCCUGAUAUUUGUCUGUACUAUGCCUGUUCAUCCUGGUAGUCUCUCCAGUAUAGUAUAAUAGUUUGUUUAUAUCAAUUACAUAUGACUACACUUAGGGCCUGUUUGGGUCACCUAGGUUUAAUUGUUAGCAAUGCUUUAAAGGUGAGAGGGCGAGGUGAGCGACCCCCUUCCAGCCGCCUAGGCGAAUAAGGUGAUUGCCUAGUCGACGCCUUACAAAUACCUUAACUAAUUAUAUAGCACCACUAAAAUUUAGAAGCAAAUCAUACCUGGAAUCUUUCACCCCUUAAUAGCACUUCCACUAUGCAUCUAAAAUAGCAAAUAUGAAAGCUCUUAACUCCCAAUAUCACUUCCACUCCACAUCUAUAUCUAUAGGAUAAAUCACAAACAGAGAAGCAGAGAAAGAACCAUGAGAGGAGGAUAGCAUCUAUAAAACAAACAGUGUUAUUAAAACUACGUUUAAACGUCAAAACUAUAAUUAGAGGUUGAAACCACGUUUUAGCGUUUUGGCGUUGUAAACUGUAAAACGCAGUGUUUUAUGCAUUUUAGACCAUUAGCUACUUUUGGGCCCAGUCUUGUAGUUACUUUUGGGGUUUAAUCCAGCUCAUGGGUGAAGUUUUGGUAAGCCACUAACCUCUCUGUAUUGGUAUUUAACUUCAUAUUAUUGUCUGAAAUUAUGAUGUAUUGGUUUUUUUCUAUGUUGUUUAAAACUACGUUUAAACAAAGUUUAAACGUUUAAAAGUCAAAAUUUCACCCAUGAGCGUUCCAACGUUUUAUCAUUUUAAUAACCUUGAAAACAAAGCACUGGGAGGAAGUCGACAAGCAAUAACAGGGCACAGGAAACCUUUGGCGUUUGAGAUGACAGGAACUCAGGGAGGGGGGGGGGGGAGAGAGAGAGAGAGAGCAGAGAAAAUACUUGGGACAAUUUGGCCUGAUAGGAAGCCAGGCUGUGGCUGGGCACCAGUGAAGAACAGAGCAGAGCUUCUGGCCAACGAGGAGUCAGGACCGAGCAGCCCUCCACUUACCCUUGCCCUGGGUCCAUGUGGAUGGCACGAAAUCCAAGCUGUGCGCGGCAGACAGGCGGACAGUACGAAAUCAAAGUAAUUCAUGUGCACAGAUGGGGUGUGGGGUUGCGUCAGCGGCAACUCAUAGCGAGCGCACAUGGAAGAAGCAGAGCCAGCACGUGCCAUAUAUUUCCUCUCGGUCUUUCGCCUCUCCCUGGACACCUAACAAGAGAGGUGGGCAGUGGGCACCCAUACGCCCGCAAGCUUGGUGACCUGGACGCUCAGAAAUCUUUGUCGCCUGGACGACUUGGCGACGCCUUUAAAACACUGAUUGUUAGUCCACUAGCUGCUACAACCUACUGUUAGGUGACUAAAGUUUAGUCCUGUGCUAUUUAGGAUUUUAGAUACAUGGACUAGUAGCUAUUAGUCCACUUCAGCUCCCCUUUAAAACACUGAUUGUUAGUCCACUAGCUGCUACAACUUAUUGUUAGGUGACUAAAGUUUAGUCCCGUGCUAUUUAGAUACAUGGACUAGUAGCUAUUAGUCCACUUCAGCUCCCCUUUAAAACACUGAUUGUUUGUCCACUAGCUGCUACAACUUAUUUUUAGGUGACUAAAGUUUAGUCCUGUGCUAUUUGGAUAGAUGGACUAGUAACUAUUAGUCCACGUUAGCUCCCCUUUGCCAAUUAGUGAACUAGUUUUUAGUUGGGGUACGGACUGAAAAUCACUCCAUGCAUUAGUUCACCUGUUUGGAUGGCCUAGGACUAAAUUUUAGGUGACUAAACAUUUUAGUACUGGUAUCCAAACAGGCUCUUGUUGUGUGUAUGUUAUGUAUCUACAGUCUGUAUUCUGCUGAUUUAUUUCUCCAUUGAUCUGGUCCCUGUAACAUUUUUUGAUCUGGUCCAUGUAACAUUUUUUUGAUAUGGUCCAUGUAACAUUUUUUCAUUACGUCUUGUGGUUAUUUACAGCUGAGUUCAUUUUGUGCUGCUCUGCAGGUUCUUGAUUUUGAUUUCGAGAAGUUCUGUUCAAUCUCCUUGUCAAAUUUGAAUGUGUAUGCGUGCUUGGUCUGUGGAAAAUAUUUCCAAGGAAGAGGGUUGAAAUCUCAUGCAUAUACGCACAGCCUUGAAGCAGGCCAUCACGUGUUCAUUAAUCUUCAAACUGAGAAGGCUUACUGUCUUCCUGAUGGAUAUGAGAUUAAUGAUCCAUCGUUAGAAGAUAUUCGACAUGUUCUGAAUCCAAGGUGCUUCUUCAUUGCUUCUAACAUUACAUUUCAAUAGCACUUGAUGGCUUUGGCAACACAGGCUGCUAAUUAGUGUACUGUUCUGGCAGGUUCACUAAGGAGCAGGUUCUAAAUCUUGACAAAAAUAAGCAGUGGUCUAGAGCACUUGAUGGCUCCAAUUAUCUACCUGGAAUGGUAUGUAUCCUUAAAAUUGACACAAAGGCCCUUAUAUGAUCUUGUUUGGGUUACCUGCUGCACUUCCGUUGCUAUGCUUUGGAAUCUUCCUUAGCCAAUUAUAUCAAAAUAUUUAUUUUAUAGUCUGGAAAAUUGUUUGUUGGGGUAUCACGAAAUAGCUGGAAAAUGCAUUUUAAAGUUUUUUUUGUACUAUUACAUGGAUCCUGAAUAUGUUGUGGACUUGCAUACAAGCAUUGUCCACUUAACUAAUCAUAGCAGUUUUUUCUUCAGUUGAUCUUUUGGAUUUUUACUGUUCUGUUGUAAGAAUGGCACUAUAUCUAAUCUCAAAAAUAUACUUUUAUUACACAUGGUAAUUAGGUCUUUUUCUAUUGAUGCUUUAUUGCCUUUUUAUCUCAUCUAUAAUUGCUGCUUUGUGCAGGUGGGUCUUAACAACAUCAAGGAGACUGAUUUUGUGAAUGUCACAAUACAGUCAUUAAUGAGAGUUACACCUCUGAGAAAUUUCUUUCUAAUCCCUGAAAACUAUCAGCAUAGCAAAUCACCAUUGGUUCAUCGUUUUGGGGAAUUGACACGUAAGAUUUGGCAUGCUAGGAACUUCAAGGGCCAGGUUGGUUUGUUAAAUCACUUUGCAGCAUGUUUCAUGCUACCACUUUGUAUGAAGAUUUGUCUAAACCAAUAAUGCAACAACCAUUUUUUCUGUUCAGGUUAGUCCACAUGAAUUUCUGCAAGCAGUUAUGAAGGCCAGCGACAAAAAGUUUCAGAUUGGUGUACAGUCAGAUCCAGUGGAAUUUAUGACAUGGCUCUUAAACACACUGCAUGCGAAACUAAAAAGUUCAAAGAAGAAAAACAGAAGCAUAAUACACGAUUGUUUUCAGGUUAGCUUUUCUGGGCAACAGUGUAAUUGAUAUCAUUUCAGCAACUUAUCAGGUCACAUUGGGAACUGUUCGUGCAGGGAGAACUUGAAGUUGUUAAGGAGGUUCAUAGGAAGCAUAUAAUGGAAAAAAGAGAGGAUGGCGGUGAGCUGAAUGGUGAGGCAGGUUCAGUGGUGGGAACUGCAGAUGGAAUUGUUACUGAAACAUCCAAGGUCCCAUUCCUGAUGCUCGGUCUUGACCUGCCACCUCCACCUCUUUUCAAAGACGCCAUGGAGAAAAAUAUCAUUCCACAGGUAUGUCUUUCACAAGCACAUGCAUAGUUUGGUGGUUAUGAUCUCAUGUGGAUGUUUAGUUUUGAUGCUUAUAGUAAGACUAGGAUGAGAUGGUGGGCUGCUAAGAUUUCUGGGAUUGAUGUGAGAACAAAAUAAACAACAUUAGAAUUUAGAAUGUGCUUGAGCAUCCAUGUAUCAGUGAAGCUUGGUUCCCCUGUCUGAUUGCUAGAACUAUAACUAUUUUGGGAUGGUGUUUCUUCAAUAUUCCUUACACCUUACAUAUAAGACCACCUGUGAAGGUAAGACGAUAUCUGUUACACAAAUGUUUUGGGUAGCACUUCAAACUUAACUUCACUGUAACCCCAUGCUUUUAGUUUAGCUCUUGCUUACAAUAAAAAAUGCUUUUUCUUGUAGUGUUGCUUGAAUAAUGCUUACUUGCUUAAUACUCCCUCAGUUCCAAGCUAUAGUUCACUUCGAUUUUGUCCUAGCUUUUACUACUUAGUUAGAAAAAAUAUUGAUAUCUACAAGUUCAAAUAUUAUUUUUUGUCAAAACAUAUUGCAUGAAGAAUCUAAUGAAACAUCUAAUGUUGUAGAUGUUGAUGUUGGUGGAUUUUUCUAUGAACUCAGUCAAAGUUAAGAAGUUUGAUUUAGGACAAAGCCAAAGUUAACUAUAACUUGGAACUGAAGGAGUUGUACAUGUUAAUCUGAUCCUUUGCGGUCCACAUAAAUUUCCGUGGAGUAUAGACAUGCUUACAGUUACAGAAUAUAUUUAUGUUUCUAUGUUGCAUAUUGGCCAGUUGUGUCAUUGUUUACAUCUAUGUUGAAGACAUUUUGGGUCAAAUGACUUUAUCACCUCUACGAUGCCUAACUGAGCGCAUUGUGUGAAUCAUAUUUACUGAUGUUUUUUUAAUCUGACACCCUUUGAAACCUUCACAUUUCUUUCCAUGUUUCCCCAACUUAUGAGUGUUUUUUUGUGGUGGUGUGUGUUGGGGGAGGAGGGGCUAGUUUGCUGUGACUGGUAUAUUGGGAUUCUGAAUCUAUCAUACUGUUCAGGUACCAUUGUUUAACAUACUGAAGAAGUUCGAUGGUGAGACAGUUACAGAGGUUGUCCGACCUUCCAUUGCCCGAAUGAGGUACCGAGUCACUAGACUGCCGAAGUAUCUGAUCCUUCAUAUGCGAAGGUUUACCAAAAAUAACUUUUUUGUCGAGAAAAACCCUACUCUAGGUGAGAUUUUACACUUGCUUGAUUAACUUUGCUGUCGCCUGUCAUGCUCCAUGGUAGCUGAUUUUAAUAUGUUUUAAUAUUCAACUUGGCAGUUAAUUUUCCUGUGAAGAACUUGGAGUUGAAGGACUACAUUCCAUUACCUAAGCCGAAAGAGAAUCAUAAGCUACGUUCAAAGUAUGACCUCAUAGCAAACAUUGUCCAUGAUGGCAAACCUGGCGAGGGAUGCUACAGAGUAUUUGUACAGCGGAAAUCAGAAGAGGCCUGGUACGUUCCUCAACAGUAUCUUAACCGAAUUAUUUGAGUCUCAGUAACCUCGAUCUAAUCAUUUGAUAUUCUCCUCUCCAGGUAUGAGAUGCAGGAUCUCCAUGUUACUGAGACCCUUCCUCAAAUGGUUGCUCUCUCAGAAACCUACAUGCAAAUAUACGAGCAACACGAAUGAGUAAUGGACAGUGGUCAUCCUAUGGUCAGUCUGUUUGCUUAACAGAGAUCAGAAUAUCACAAACUAAUCCUUAUCUUUGGAGCAGCUUUUUUUGGGGCAGAAUUUUGUAGUAUCUUCACACAUGUCCAGACUUAAUUUCUUGACAAGCAGAGAUCGAGGGAAUGUACUUGGGUCAUCAAGUCAAUGCUAUGGAGGCUGAAACAUCGUGAAUUGUUUUUAGAGCUGCUUUGAUAGAGGAACGAUUUCCCACAUAUUUCAUGUUUGUAGUGCAGCACUGCAGCCUGUAUCUGUUGUGAACCGGUACGCUUCCAACCGUUAUCAGCAAACUUUUGAAGCUCAUAAAGUAUAAUUUUUUAUGCUACGUGCUACUCAUUUCUGCUUUUUUUUUGCUACGCUUUAGGUAGAGCAGGGUUCCAGCUGUAUGGUUUAGUAUUGCUUUUCGAAGCCUUGAGUUUGUUUCUGUACAGGACCGGCAAAUCACAGUUUCAAACAAUUGCGGCAGGGUGGUUCUGGUCCAGUUGUUUCAAAUUAGCUUAUCCACCGAUCAAAUUUUGAGCAUUACCAAAGCAAUUAAAGACGUAUUAGUUGACUGACGAGGAGGCGGGCUCUUCUAGAACCGAGUCAGCACUUGCACUUCCAGCCCUGGCAACCUUCACGACAAGCCACCAAUGUUUGUUUGAUCCAUUGAUAAUACACGGCAUUAGGAUAUCUUAAUCGUUGUCACGAUGAUUUGGAGCCUCUUUGGUAGGGCUUCAGCUCUAGCUUUUUUCUGAAAAAAGCUAGCCCUGGCAAACAGCUUUUCUUAAAACGGCUUGCUACGAAAAUCGCCAAAAAAAUAGAGUUGUUUUCUAUACUACAGAGAAGAAACUAUAAAUAUUAGUUUCUAUGGCUCUAGCUCUGACACUAACACUUUAAUACAGGAAAAUAACUUUUGCUUUAAGAUAAAUCGUUUCUGACAAAUGAUUACGAAAUGGCUUCGAUUCUACGAAAAGAGCUGCUUUUCAUAAAAAGCCAAAACUAAAGUUGUUUUUGGCAAGGUAGAGUUGUGCCAAACGGAUCCUCGAUAGUCUGGUGGAUUAGACUCUGCUUCCUCCGUUAAAAAAAACCCAAUUGUAACUUGAAUAAGUCAAACUUCGAUCAAAUUUAUAGAAAAAACACAAAUAUUUAAGUACAAUUAGGUUUGCUAAAAAGCAUAUGUAAUGUUUUUUAGUAACAUAAAUAGUUAAAUACUUAUAUUUUCAUAUAUUUUUUUAUCAAAUUUAAAUUUCGUUUUUUAUAAAUGAGAAUUAUAGACACAUAUAUAUUUCAUAAAUUUUUUUAUCAAAAUUUGGCUUUUUAGACGGGGGAUUGCUAUAUUGCGCUCCUCAGAAAUCGUAGCGGGUUUUCUGAAGCUAGUGAAACUUUGUAAAUACCUCGUAGUGUUAACCAACCUCGCCUCCUCGGUAGAGGUGUAUAGGGCUCGUACAACCACGUGGUAGAUGAGUAACAUGACUUAUGGGUAAAGAUAUCCAACCUCUGCAGAGUGUAAAACUGGUAUACCAGCCGUGCUCACGGUCAUGAGCGGCUCAGACCCUCACAUGAUUAACUUAUGGAAUUCAACUUAAUUUAUCGUACACAUCGCAUUAUGAUUUUAUUAUAAAUUCUGAUGUACUAUUACUCUGGGUUGGUAUACACUUACAUUUAGUAACUGUUAAUAAAAUGGACCACCUUAUUAAAAGCAAUGUGCAGUUUAACCAUUAUUUGUUGAUCAGCCUUACACUUCACAUGAGCUCCCAUCUUUAGUGAGCUCAUGCACAUUAUUCCCCACGCUUGUUGAGCUAUAAACUUUUGUGAGCUCACUCUUGCGAUAUAUAAACCCCCCACAGGUGAAGAGCAGGUAGCCCAGGAAGAGGACUACUACGAGGAGUUCGAUGAAGUCUAGGUGGCGUCUCCCAGUCAGCUUAAUGGCGCCAAGGAAAUAAUAUUAGUUUGUUUAUUUGUUAUCAUUUAUUUUUAUAAGACACUUCUGCUAUAUAAUAAUGUUUGUGACAUUUAUUUCUAUACACUUGGUCAUUAUAUGUGUUCUUCUUCUUUGGCGCACAUAUGAGACGCACCUGGGUUUACCCCUUAAAUCCGGGUGUUACAAAUUAGGUGCAAGAUAUUAUAAGCCUCCCUCCCUCACUGGAAGUAGGGCCUUCUCUUCCCCGAACCAAGAUGAAUCUUGUGUGUAUUUUUGCAUCACUCAUUCGGGACAGUGCCACGUAGCAUAAAUUUACUAAUUGGUUAGGACCCCCGGUUUCAAAAACACCGACAAGUUAAAAGUUACAUGCUUCUUUAUUGUUGAGUUCAGCCCUAGAUCUCAGUAGCAUCUAUCAAAUAAAGGAAAGGGUUUACCAAUUGGAUUCUAUAAAGAUAUUUUACCAAAAUUUUAUUUUUCAAAUUUCAAAUCAAAUUCAAACAAAGUUCAAAUUGCAAUUUACAUGCAACAAUAAAAAAUAUCCAUCAUGCAAUGCAAGGUUCAUUUAAUUAAUUGUUUUAUACAUUUUGAUAUAUAAUACAAUAGGAAUAUUUUACCAAAAUUUUAUUUUUCAAAUUUCAAAUCAAAUUCAAACAAAGUUCAAAUUGCAAUUUACAUGCAACAAUAAAAAAUAUCCAUCAUGCAAUGCAAGGUUCAUUUAAUUAAUUAAUUGUUUUAUACAUUUUGAUAUAUAAUACAAUAGGAAUAAUUCAUGUAAAAUAUUUCAUCACAUAUUUAUUUAAGAAAAUAGUUUAAAUAUAUAGCCAAAAUUUAAUAUUUUCCAUUUGUUUCAUCACAUAACCUUCAUUAAAAGUGUCGGGGAGCAAAUCUCCGGUCGGGUGGCGGAGUGCACCCGCCCUAAAUCCUAAGAUGAGGAGGGGCCUAAGCGUUUUGCUUGUUAGUCGGGAAAACGAGAAGAACACAAGAACACACAAGGAUUUAGAGUGGUUCGGGCCGCCAGAGCAUAACACCCUACUCCAUUGUGUAAUGUAUUGCUCGUGAGCUUGUAUAAGUUUGUGAGUGUCUGAGUGAGCCUAAGAUUGGACCUGUCUUGUAACGCCGCAUGCCUCUCCUUUUAUAGCUGAAGGGGGGCAUGCACAAAGGUACUCAACCCCGGCAUGUGGGCCCAGGGACAUAAUGAAUAUAGCACUUGGAGCUACAAAUGUUUGCUGCUGGGGCAAUCUUCUAGUGCCCUGAUGCCCGAGAUCUGCGUAUCCUCGGCGUGCAGGGGAAGCUUCUUGUAGAAGGAAUGAAGAGCACAGUGCGCCGCAUGGCACGGGCGCACUGUUUGAUGAUAGAUUGGGCAGGCGCGCCGUCUGACACCGUCUGCCAGCGGAGAGGACUGGACGCAUUAAAUGCCGAGAGGGCACAUCACUCGUCGGCUUGGUGGCACGCGACGCGUCCUCUCUGCAAAAAAUGCAGAGACUACGCGGCAGGCUCUGCCGGUUGGCUUAUGUCAUGGGCCACAAGCCACGCGACAGCAGCGGGUCUCCGCCUGAGCGGGGAGCCCAGUGCAAGCCCUGGACACGUGCCAGCACCGGACCCCUUCCAGGGCAGGGUCCAGGUAUUUCCUGCCCCAGAAUCCCGGGACUUGGUGGUGAUCUGUCCGGACCCCACUCGGAAGGGUCCGGGAUCACUCUCGGAGGUCCGCCCGUCAUGUACGGGGUCCGGUGCUUUCCACAUAGCAGGUUCGGACCCACUGCGUGUAUCUGGAGCACGUCCUUUCCCUUGGCCACGUGGCGACCCAAGGCGGCUGAUGUUGCGCGACGGUGAGCUGUUCGCCGCGCAACCAGAGACUUCUCCGCUGGCACAACGCCUUUACCUUGUAACAAGGGGUACCCCUAUUUCAAGGUACCGACAGUGGCCCCCGGGCCCACCUCAGGGGAGGGUGCGAGCCUGCAGGUGGGGCCAAGACCUGUAUCAUGCGUAAGCUCUGCAUGACCGGGGAUCGGGCAUCUUCUUAGCGCGCGCCGUACUAACCCAGCGCGCGCAUGCUGUCAGUUUGCUACUGGUCACACCAACCGUCGUGCCCGUCUUCGCGGCUGACUAGCGCGUGGCCCCCACGCAUGGUGGUUUGGCCGUGCCCCGCGUGCGUGGGGCGCCCUGUUGGCCCCGCCUACGUUAAAAAUAUCUUCCGGCAGCGGCCCCGAGGCGACGUGGGAGCGUGCGCGGCGGUUUGCUCCUCCUGCGCAUGGAGACCAGCGCCUCAGCCGCGUGACUUGUGGGCCCGGGCCCCUCUGUCAGUGACCGAGUUGUUCGGGCGCUAGGUGUGCGUUAGGCAGAUUUUUCCAGGGUGCGCGGGGAGCCAUCUCUCGAAAAAGGGUUUUUCCGCGCGUAGUGGUUUCGCUUUCGCAUUUUCCCCAACUGCUCCGCCUUUCGCCUCCGAGCCUUCCACGCCUCUCCGCGUUCGUGCUCCCCAGUUUUCCGCCUCCGUGGUUGCCAUGGCCAUGCUGGUUCGCCCCGAUCAUUACCAGACUGAGGAGGCACUCGACUCGGUGCGCCGCCUACUCGGAUGGGGCAUGCCUGCGUUCGCCGGGAGGAUCCGGGCUGGCACUACUCCCCUCGGCGAUCUUGCUGCCGGGGAGUUUGUGCUCUUCGUCUCCUAUCUCUUCUGCGGUUGGCGCUACCGAUUUCGCCGUUCUUCCUGCUGCUGCUGGAGGAGUUCGGACUCCAACUCCAACACCUCACGCCCCACUCCGUCCUCUAGGUGGCCAUCUUUGUCCAUUUCUGUGAGAUGUUCGUGGGAGUGGCAGCUUGUACUUCCCUUUUCCGCCAGUUUUUUGUGCUGGUGAGGUCUGGGAAGGGCAAGGACCACCUUGGGGCCUACUACUUCCAGACAAGGCCAGAUCCAAAAGUGACCUACAUCGCCUCCCUUGGCGGCGCGAGGUGGGAGAACUGGCGAAACGACUGGGUGAUCGCCAGUGCUGAGGUCAGCGACCGCCUUGCCCUUCCGAGUGACGGGCCCAGACUCGACCAGAAGCAGUGGAGGGUAAAACCAUGCCUCGUGCCGGAGUUCAAGCCUGUCCUGGAUAGGAUUAAGGACCUGACGGUUGGUGGCCUGACCUCGAUGCACGUACUCGGCGAUUUCCUGAAGCGCCGAGUCAUGCCACUGCAGGGGAGGCCGCGUCUGUGUUGCUGGUUUACCGGCCCCAGCGACAUUGGCAGGAUCCAGCGCGGGCCUGGGACUGACCUGACCUGGGAGCAGUUGGAAAUUUUGGUGAGGGGGAUCACUGGUGAGGCUUUUAUCCCCGAAUCCUUGAUACCUCCCCAGGGCAUUUCGACGCUCUGCGACAACCCAGGGUUGCGGUCAGCGGUGCUGGCCCGACUGCCGACCCUUGAUGAGAGUGGUGUGGCGGUCCACCAGAUCGGCGGCCGAGACCCCCCCACCGGGGGAUCCACAUUCCUGGUGCACCAGUUGGAGGCCCCCAGCCUGCUGAUGUGGCCCCCAGAGCUCCUCCUGCGGCCCCUAGUUCCUCGAACAAGGGCAAGGGGCCUGCAAGCAGCUCCUCCACUCCGGACGCCGCCGGGAGUUCGGAGGAAGUAAGGCAACACCGACUGCGUCGCACCAAUGGGUCCUUUGUCUCGGAUCUACCCCUCGAUUCGGACUCCCCCUAGAAGCGUCAGAAGACAGCUAGUGGGGCUAAGGAGGCCGAACCUCGGGUCCAGGACGGGCAGAGGGGCGUGAGUCCUCCGCCGCCACCACCUUCGGAUCCGACACCACCACCACCGCCGCCUGUGUCAGACCGACCGCCAUCACCGCGGAGCAGCGGCAGCAACAGCAGCAGGGACGGCAGCAGCAGCAGCAACGACAACGGGCGCCCCGCUUCCAAGGCCACUGGAAGGUUCACGGUCCCAAGUAAGCUUAGGCUCUUCCAAUGUUUUUUUCGAGCGUAGCUUUUAUGUCGACAGGUCUUGACCCGUCCUUUGCCCGUCCGGGCCUCCCCUUCUUCGGCUUCUGUGGACGCUCCUCCCCCGCCGGCCGCCAUGCCCGCCGGUGGGUUUGGUUCCCAGCAGCAUACAUCUGCUAGGAACGUCGCCGGCGAUCCGUCAGCGGCUACCGCAGCCUCAUCAGCGUCGGUGCCAAGUCCACCAUCGGCAGUGACCGAAGAGGUUCCUGUUGCGUUUGCCCCCACCAUGCAGGGUGACACUGGUGUUGAGGUGGUGCCGUUGGGCCCCCAGGAUCUGCCUGUCACCGUCGAUGCAACGCCUUCGGGUUCCCAAGUUCGACCUGGGGGUCCAGAGGUGGCAAGGCUACCAACAGCUGUUGGAGACCUAACGGCGGCGAUACCGUCGGAUGCACCAUCGGUGGUAGGCGUGGGGGGCGCAUCCAGCUCUGUCCCGCCGCCAACUCCGGAGGCUCCAGAGGUUAUCCUUGGGCGACCGCUCCGGUCUGGCAUCGAACCUGAAGCAACGCUGACCCCCCUCCCCCAGUUUCUGUCGCGCGCUCACUAGGCCCUCUAGGAAACCGAGGUGGCUAUCCGCGCGGGAGUGGGAGGCGCUCGAGACCGAGCACCAUCGCCUUGGCGACUAGUGCACUCAACUGGAGAAGCGCACUAAGGCAGCGUCCUGCCAAUUCGCCUCAGAGCGGGCCGAGUUUGAGCAGGAGCGCGAGGACUUCCAGGAGGACAUCCGGAAGGUGUCUGACCGAGAGGAAGAGGUGACCCGGAAGGAGAAAAGCUUGGUCAAAAAGAAGUAACACUUAGACCAAAGGGAGGAGGCCGUCACAACGCUCCAUGAUAAGCUGAAAGCUGAUAAUACGGUGCUGGAGAAACAUCAGAACAAGCAGGAUGCGACUGAGGCGAAGCUGCAGCAGGAACUCGCCGAUAAGGCCAGCGACAUUGCUCGCGCCGAGGAAAGCCUCAAGGCGAGGGAAGCUUCCCUGGCGAAACGGGCAACUGAUCUCACCUGGCAGGAGGAGGACCUCGCCUUCAUGGAGGAGAUGUGGGCAAGGCGGAACAAGCUGCUGGAUGAGCUUGAGCUCGAGGCAGAGGAGAAAAGGAAGCGUUUGGAGGGGAAAGUGCGGGCACUGGAGUAGCAGGUCCGCCAGUUCCAGGCAGCGCAAGCUGCUCAGGCGACGCAGACGGCCUCGGGCCCCCAGGCGGUGGAGGUGAUGAGGAAGACACUCGACGACCUCCGGGCUGAGCAACGCGCCGGGGCCCAGCGCAUCGCCGCCUGGGCUGGCGAGGCAAGCACGACGUUAGUGCCGUUGGGGGUGAGCCCCAUCCCGGCGUUGGUGCGGCCGACGUCCAUCUCCGACGCGCUCCCGGUACUGGAUUCCGCUGCUGACCGCCUCCGACGUCUGGAUCAGAUUCUUGGCGCCCGCUUGGAGGCCGAGGGCAGCAGACUUUGCCGGUCGGCAAUAGAGUAUGUCUUGACAUGCUUCCGGAGCCACGAUCCGGCUAUCUCCUUGGGGCCAGUCAUCACGGGUCCGGUGGCCGAUACUGAAGAUGCUGCCUGAGAGGGCGUGCAGGACGUUGUGGACGCGAUGGUCGGGUGCUUCCAGCGGGAUCCUACUGACGAUGAGUAGCCAGGCCUGCGUGGAGAGAAACGAGGGUUCCACUGGGGAGCGGGUUGUAAUAUGUCUUUGAUUUUGUAAGAUACUCUUUAGGUACUACUUAUUGGGCGAUAUUACAACUUAUCCGCAUGCCACUUUUCCUUUGAUGUGUGUAUUGGUACCAACUUCUUCCCUGGUACUUGGCCCCCCUGGGAUAUGGCCUCGACGUGUCAGGGCUGGAUGCCAGGAUUCUUAAGGAGGAACUGGUGUCAUGACCCCCAAGGGGCAAUCCCAACUGGGACCCGACCUGCACACAGUCUUGGCUAGGUAUUUUUAGUAGCGCACCCAUAGGGUCCGCCUGGUGGUAUUUCUUAUCCUUUGAUUCACACAACAGGACCGGCUGCAGGGUGGUGGGGCGUGUAGGCUUACGGUACUUGACCAUACCAAGCGACUUCACGGCCCCAAACCACCCCAUCGUCUGGUUGCCGGGUCUGGCUACUCAAUUCGGAUGUCGCUAUACCAACCAGGGAGGGAAACUGCAUGAGUGGUGAGAUAGUAAUAAUGGUCGUAAACUUAGGAAUAAAAUUAACAUAAAAAUAUUUCUGUGGGUUAGACCCCUUCCUUAUAACUGGAUAUACACGAGUGUAGGCCAACAGACCGAGUUUAUUGAGGGCGGACCUCUCCGGACUGGCGCACAUAAAUGCGCUCCUUAGUUACAGGGAAAGAGACCGAACCCCCAAUUCUGUUUUUAUGGGAAAAACUUACGGAGAUGCUCUAUAUUCCAGGGGUUGGGAAGAGGUACUCCGUUAUCUGUGGCGAGGCGGACGCACCCGAGGCGGCAUAUUUCUGUCACCUUGAAGGGUCCUUCCUAGCUGGGAGAGAGCUUGUGGAGCCCUUCUCGGUUCAGAACUCGCCUUAGAACCAGGUCCCCGACUUCAAACUUCCUACUAUGCACGAACCGUUGGUGGUAGCGCCUGAGCGCCUGGUUGUACCGUGCAUUUCGGAUUGCUGCUCGCCACCUGUGCUCGUCGAUGAAGUCCACAUCCUCGCGCCGUAGCUGUUCCUGCGCAGACUCAUCAAACGACUGGGCCUGUGGGGAGCCCAUAAUGAUUUUCGGGGGAAGGCAGACUUCGACCCCGUAGACCAGGAAGAAUGGGGUCUCCCCGGUAGCUCGACUGGGUGAGGUCCGGUUCCCCCAUAGCACGGAGGGCAGCUCACUGACCCAAUUUGCGCCAUGCUUCUUUAAGCAGUCAUAGGUAUGCGUCUUGAGUCUCCUGAGAAUCUCUGCAUUUGCUCUCUCCACCUGUCCGUUGCUCCUAGGGUGGGCCACGGAUGCGAAGUAGAGCUAGGUGUCGAUGCCUUCAUAGUAGUCCUGAAAGACCCGACUUGUAAACUGGGUCCCGUUGUCUGUAAUGAUACGACUUGGGACCCCGAAUCUGCAGAUGAUCGACUUGAGAAAAGCGACAGCAGCGCUCUGGGUGAUGCUGACCACAGGGGUGGCUUCCGGCCACUUGGUGAACUUGUCAAUGGUGACAAAGAGGUACCGGUACCCGCCGACAGCCCUAGGAAACGGUCCCAGGAUAUCCACCCCCAUACGAUGAAUGGCCAGGAGGGCAGAAUUAUUUGCAGAGCCUAAGCUGGUGUGUGUAUCUGCUUUGUGUGGUACUGGCACGCUUCACAGGACUUUACUAGCUCGGCCGCAUCCUGGAGGGCAGUUGGCCAAUAAAAACCAUGUCGGAAGGCCUUACCGACCAGCGUGCGGGAUGAAGAAUGACUUCCACACUCCCCUCCAUGGAUCUCCGUGAGUAACUCACGGCCCUCUUCCUGGGUGAUGCACCGCAUGAGAAUGCCGUUGGCGCCACAGCGGUAGAGACCCCCUUCUACCAUCGUGUAUCGCUUAGCCAACCGCACUAUGCGCUCGGCGGAGACAUGGUCUUCAGGAAGGAUAUUUUCCUUCAGGUUGUCCCAGAUCACGGAGAUCCAUGCAUCGGGACCGCUCUGAGUUGUCGACUGUGGCACUAAAGGGUCAGCGGAGUCCCCCAGAGCGCACACAACCUUUGGUGGGUUCUGGGACGCCACCGGGAUCGCCGGCUUCGAGGUGCCGGUCUCGCCCCCUUCGCCCAGUUCGGCCGGCUGGGCAGCGAGUCUCAACAGCCGUCUUUCGAAGAUGCCCUCGGGCAUGGGUGCCCGAGUUGAUGCCCUAUGGGAGAGGUCAUCUACCGCUGAGUUGUCGGCCUGAGGAACAUGUUGUAGUUCCAGGGUCGUGAAGUCCUUCUCCAGCUUCUUCACAUGGAGGAGGUAAGCUACGAGUCUAGGCUCGUUGCAGCUACAUUCUCCAUGGACCUGCUUGAUGAUUAGCUGAGAGUCCCCCUUCACGAGGAGUUGGCGGACCCCCAGGGAUAGGGCCGCGGAUAGGCCGAAGAUCAGCGCCUCAUACUCCGCCAUGUUGUUGGUGGCCUUGAACUCAAGACGCACCACAUACUGCAGCUGGUCUUCGCUUGGGUCAGUGAGGACCACUCCCGCACCAGCACUCUGUUGGCGGGCGGAUCCGUCAAAGAAAAGCGUCCAGUGGGGCUCGGUGAAGAUCGGACCCCUGCGUUCCGCAGGUGUAGGGUCCGGAGCGGGGUCCGAGCCCCCAGGGAUGCACGGGGGUGGAGUCCACUCUAUGAUGAAGUCGGCUAGGACCUGACUUUUGAUGGCGUGGCGGGGUUGGAAGUCCAGCUGGAACUCGGCGAGCUCUGCUGCCCACUUGGCAAUGUUGCCAGUGGCGUUUGGGUUGUAGAGGAUGGCCCUUAACGGAAAGGAGGUCACCACUACAACCUUGUGUGCUUGGAAAUAUUGAUGCAACUUCCUGGAUGCGACCAACACGGCGUAGAGGAGCUUGUGCGUCUCGAGGUAUCUGGCCUUUGCUUCAUGGAGGACCUCGCUGACGUAGUAGAUCGGCUUCUGGACAGUCCGGGUCUCUGUAGCUGGUCCUAAGUUUCCAGGCUUCUGUCCUUCUUGUGCCGCUCUUUCGACGACUAACACCAUGCUUAUUGCCUUUGCAGCUGCCGCAAUGUACAAAUAUAGCGGUUCCUCUGGCUCCGGAGCAACCAGGAUCGACAUGGAAGCUAGGUGUUGCUUCAAUUCUUUGAAGGCUUGUUCCGCCUCUUCGGUCCAGGCAAAUGGGCCUGAUUUCCGCAAAAGCUUGAAGAAGGGCAGCGCCCUCUCAGCCAACCUCGAAAUGAAGCAGCUAAGGGCUGCCAGUGACCCCGUAAGCUUCUGGAUGUCCUUAAUACGGGCGGGAGGCCUCAUCACCUGAAUAGCCUUGAUUUUCUCCGGGUUAGCUUCAAUGCCCCGAUAUGAAACCAGGAACCCCAGCAACUUCCCUGCAGAGACACCGAAGAUGCAUUUCUCCGGGUUUAGCUUGGUGCGGGUUGCCCACAGCUUGUCAAAAACCAGGGUCAGGUCUUCCACUAUAGUCGACCCCUCCCUAGUCUUGACCACGAUGUCAUCGACGUAGAUCUGCACCUUGUCCCGGAUCAGGUCCCCGAAGGUCUUACUCAUCGCCCGAACAAAUGUUGGCAAGGCGUUUCUUAGACCGUAGGGCAUUACAAUGUAACAGUAUAGUCCAUCUACUGUUACAAAAGCGGUAUGCCUCCUAUCCUCCUUAGCCAUCCGGAUUUGAUGGAAACUAGAGUAGGCGUCCAAGAAAGACAAGAGGUCGCACCCCGAGGUAGAGUCCACGAUUUGAUCUAUACGCGGCAGUGGGUACGGAUCCUUGGGACAUGCCUUAUUCAGGCUGGUGUAGUCGAUGCACAUCCGAAGCUUCCCAUUUGCCUUUGGUACGAUGACUGGGUUGGCCACCACACGAGGUGAUGAACCUCUUCGAUAAAGCCAGCAUGUAACAGCUUCCGGACCUCCUCACGGAUGAAGUCCUGUCGUUCCACGGACUGUCUCCGUGGCUUUUGGCUUACCGGCUUGGCGUCCGGGUAGACCUUUAGUUGGUGCUCGAUCACCUCCCUGGGGAUCCCAGGCAUCUGCGACGGCUCCCAAGUGAAGAUGUCGGCAUUUGCUUGGAGGAAGGCGACGAGCGCGAGUUCCUAUUUUUCCCCCAGGUUCCCCGCGAUGCGGGUGGUCUGGGAGGGGUCUGCGCCGACCUGGAUGGUCUUCGCGGGUCCACCGUCUGCCCCGGACGGCUGCACUUUCGGCGCCUUGGAGGGCGCCCUGGCACUAGGGACCGAGGGGCCUCUUCCCCCGUCGUCCGGCCGAGCGAUCUCGGCCGCCAGAGUGUGUAGUUUCUCGAUGGCUGCUAGUGCGGCGGUGCGGUCGCCCCGCACGGUGAGGACCAAGUACCCGUAAUGGGCAAUGGCCAUGAACCGGUACAGGGCCGGCCUUCCAAUGAUGGCGUUAAAAGGGAGGUUGACCUCCGGGACAUCGAACUGGACAUUUUCCGUGCGGAAGUUUUCUUCCGUCCCAAAUGUAAUCGGGAGCAUUAUGCUCCCAAGGGGAUAUACGGGCUGCGGGCCCACCCCAGAGAAUGGGCGAGAGGGCCCCAGCCACGACCCCGGAACCUGUAGUUGUCUGAAUGCUGCAUGGCUGAUGACAUUGAGGCCGACCCCUCCGUCGAUCAGCACGUGAUGUAGCCUGAAAGGGAAAUAGGCUCAAACCUUUUCCGAAAUGAUUUUGGUGGUUGAAUUGCCCAACAUAAAUAAUUAGACUAACUAGUUUGCUCUAGAUUAUAUGUUCUACAGGUGUUAAAGGUUCAUCUACAACUAUUCUAAAUCAACUGUCCGGAAUACCGUAGAUUAUUCCGGACAGGAGAAGCUUUUUGGAAAAACAGACUAAGCGCGGACCGUCCGGGCCCUUGCGGCAGACCGUCCGCGACACCGCUUUGACUUCGACCAGGAACUAUAAAUCAUGGAUAGUCUGACUAAACCGCGGACCAUCCGGCUACAACGCGCAGACCGUCCGGCUAUAAUUCACGGACAGUCCGCAUGUGAAGACCUGGUUCAGCCCGAAGGUGACAAGUUGAGCAAAAGGAAUUAUAUAGCUGGCGCGGACAGUCCGGGACCAAGGGCGGACCAUCCGCAUGGUGUCACCAAGGCAGAUAGCCGUUGAUCUAACCGUUGAUCUGUUAGAAGUAUCCGUUGAAGAUGUCAGGAUCGACCGUUGGAGGGUCGCGGACCGUCCGGGCCCUAGCCGCGGACCGUCCGCCAGUGCAAUUUCUGGCAGAUGCGCCCCAAUGGCUAUAUGGGUGGUUGAGGGCUAUAAAUACCACCCCAACCGGCCACUUCACGGAGAGGGAGCCCAAGCAACAUUCCAAGUCAUCUAGUUGACAUAUUCAAGCCCUCCCAACCACCUCUAUUCAUUGAUCCAUCCUAUACACAAGAUUUAGACCACUAUAAACCACACAAGUGCCACAAAAGAGAGAGCAAGCAAAAGGAAGCCUCUUGUGAGAGUUUAGCUCUAGUGCCUUGUGAGAUUCAUUGAGAGAUAGUGUGUGCUACAUCUUUGUGUUCAUUUGCGCGUGGAGUUUUGACUCCCAUUGAACUUCCUUCAAAGUUUUGGAGGCUUGUAAAGCUAGCAAGAGACACCAAAGAGUGUGGUGAUCCUUGUGGGGUCUUUGGUGAUCCUUGAGAAGAAGAAGAGCUCGCCGGUCUUGUGUGAUCGGUGGAGAGAGGGAAAGGGUUGAAAGAGACCCGUCCUUAGUGGACUCCUCAACGGGGACUAGGCCUUCGAGGGCCGAACCUCGGUAAAACAAAUCACCCGUGUCUCAUGUGCUUAUUGCUUGUGAUUUGUUUGUCCUUUCCCUUUCUAAGUUUUUCUUGCACUACUCUUUGCUAAUUCUAUUUGGUGUUGCUUUAAGUUAAAUUCUCAUUUAGUGAAGCAACACAUUGCAAGAGAGAACUUGUGUUAUUGCUCUUCUUAACUAAGCCCUCUUGCUUUAUUCUCAUAGACUUAUUAGUAGUAUUGAUUUAUCAAUUUCGCAUUAUUUGAAAGCAAUACUCUUUACAAGCAAGAACUUAGUUUUUAUACUCCGACAAUUGUAUAUCUUGUUCUAACCACUAAUCAAGGGAUCUAGUUGGGGUGUAAAGUUAUAAUUUUCAGGUUUCGCCUAUCCACCCCCCUUCUAGGCGACUUUCAAUUGGUAUCAGAACUAGGCACUUCAUAUUGAGUCUAACAACUCGAAGUGAUGGCUCGUAGAAGAUCCCAAAAGAACAAGAAGACAACUCCGAAGGAGAACAAGGAGGUAACUCUUGAGAUAUUACUUUUCGAUUGUUCUAAUUAUGAGUCAUGGUCUACUACAGUGAUAAAUGCUUUUAGAACCAUAGACUCACGAUUAGAACAAAUUUUAGACAAGAGUAUCAUACCCUCCAGCUAUAAUGAUAAAAAUAUUUCCGAGGAAGAUCAAAGAUGUAUACGCUUAAACUAUCUAGCUUUUGACAUCCUAGUUAAUUCUCUUAGCAAGGAAGAUUAUCAUGCCUUCAUAAUAAAUCAUUAUGAACAUAUUCCUGAUGCACAUGAUAUUUGGACUAUAAUUAAAAUCAAAUUUGAUGAGUCCAAACAUGAUAGUUCACUUUGUGCUUCUACUUCCUUUGGUCUUUGUGAUACUAACCCUUGCAAGGAAGAAGAAGAAAAUGACCGAUGGAGACCAAACGAUGAAUCCACCUCUCCAAGAGGUUUGUCUUCCCAUUUCGAUUCCCACAUAUGUUGUGUGGCUAAUGAAAAUGAUAGCGGAAGCACAAACGAGGAUGAGGAGGAAGAAAGAAGCUUCAGGCAACUCUACGCUCGCCUAAACCAAGAAGAUAAGGCGGUCAUGCUAAAACUUCUAGAAAGAGCGAGAGAGCAAAGCGAAGCUCGUCAAAGGCUAGAAGAUGUUCUCUCCAUGAAAAUGCUACACUUUGACGAGUUGACUAAAGAACAUGAGGAGCUAAAGUGCUCUCAUGUUGAUUUGGUCCAAAGGUAUGAAACUAUUUCAAUUGAGCAAGAUAACGCUUUACAUUGUAUCGCUCAAUUAGUAAAUAGGAAUACCUUGCUUAAGGACCAAGUAGAAGAGCUAAAAGUUGAAAAUCUAGCUUUUCAAGAAAAAUAUGAUAUGCUCCUUUGCUCUCAUGAAAAUCUUAUGGAUGAUCAUAUCAUAUUAAAUAUUGCUCAUGAGGUUGUGAUAGAAAACUUAAAAUCACAACAACCUCACUCAUGCACAUGUAUUCAAAUUGAAACUAUAUUACCAUGUGCUAAUGCUUGUUGUCCGUCGACAAGCAAAUCUUCCUUUGAGCUAGAAUUUGCAGGAACAAAUGAUGAUACAUAUCAAAAUCUCAAAGAAGAAAAUGAGAGGCUAAAAAUGAGCUUGACACAACUAAAAGGGAAGUGCAUUGCUCAACCUUCUCAAGAUAACCGUGAUCACAUGGUGAAGAAGCUUGAGACGGGAACAACCGUGGCAUGCACUAAAUCCCUUGAAGAAAAUGUCAAGGACUUGAGGAUUGCCAAGAGGAGGGAACAAAAGAAGAAAAUCAAUACCUCUUCCAAAAUCCUCAACCAUGCCUCCAUAAAAGGUAACAUCUAAGGUAAUAAUCAAGUCACACUUCACACUAAGAGAAGUAAGAAGUGUAGUGAAUGCUUUGAAAAGGGGCACUCGAUUAGGUCAUGUCCCUAUAUUAAAAAUGACUUGAUUAUUAACAAGGAUGAUAAACUUUGUUUUAAAUACUCCAAGAAGGGGCACUUGUUUAGGUCUUGUCCCCAUUUGAAACAAAAAGGCAUAGUGUUAGAAAAGAAAAUAUUCACUAACCAUGUAGCAAGAAAGAAACAAGGAAAGAAGAAAUCUUCAAGACUUGAGGAUCGCCUAUGCUACAUAUGCCGAAAGAAGGGACAUCAAUGCAAGGAUUGUCCCAUUGGUAACAAUCCCACUCCUAGCUUGUCAAUUAAUUCUCAUGUAACUAGGCAACCCAAAAUUGCAACUUGUGCUAGAAAGGUAAUGAGUUUACCUAGGGCUAGCACAAAGGACGUUUGGGUUCCUAGAUCUUUGUUGACUAACCUUGAUGGACCCAUCAAGAGAUGGGUACCAAAAUAUGCUUGACAAGUUUUUGCAGGAGAAGGAGAUGGUAUGAAGCUUAGGGGUGCUUGAGAGAGUCAAUUCAACUUUUAUUAACUCAAGCUAUCAUUCUUCAAUGAUCUAUAUCCAAGAUUGACCAAAGUUAUUUUGAAUUGUUAUAUCUAAAACUCAUAUCAUCUCGGGAAAGAUGUUGAUGUUGUAGGAAAUAAAGAAUUAUACUGUGCGAAAAGUCAAGGCCUACAACAUGGAGGAAAGUCAAAGGAUGGUAACAUUUUUUUAAAUGCAAGUAUCUUAAAUUAUCAUUUCUUAUGUGUCUUGUGUAGUCACAUAGAAAAGCACUUCAAAAAAUUUUUAUAAAAAAAUUGUCACCAUUCUUUGAAGAAAUUCCUCUCAUAUGGUAGAUUGCAUAUUCAUCAUUUCUAUUCUAUAGCAAUCUACAUGCUUUAAAUUGUUGUAAGUAUUUCAUGGCAUGUUUUAAUCUAAUCAUACCAUUAUUGCCAUGAUCUAGAUAUAAAGGAAUAUUCCAUGUUCUUAAAAGAAUAAAGUGUCAUGUCAAGAAUUCAAUUCCCUAGGACACUUAUAAAGGGAAUCUCUCUUUGUAUCUAGAAUCGUGAGACUAAUGUUUUUGUCUAAAUAACCUAAGUAGUCUAACAUGUAGAGAAAAAUAUGUUUCUCUUUGGAGAUACGUAAUCUAACAUAAAAAGAAAAGUCAAUCCAAUGAUUUAUGUUGUUUUGCUUCCAACUUAUAUUGGAUAUGAUUCUUCUACAUUUAUCGCUCUCCAUGUCAUGAAUUAGAUUUAUUCCUAUAAUCCUAAAGAACUAACUAUGCUUGUUUUAUAAGUUAAAACUAAGCUUACUUCAAGGAAUAAUCUAGUUCAUAUUAGGUUUCCAUGUUUUAGUAAUCCACUUUUCAUUCCUUAUCAAAAUAAUUACAAAAAGGGAAACUAGUGCUUGUGUUGCUAUUAACAUUUCUCUUGAGCUUACUUAUGAAAAUCUACAAGAGAGUAAGUGCAAGUUUAAAGCCACAAGCCUCAAAGGGUUGAUCUUCACCCAAAGGAAGAAAGGUAAAAGCAAUGGUAUGAGAACUCAUCUUCUUAAUCAAAUAUAGUUCCCAUCAAUGGUCAUUUACUCUAAAUUAUCAUAUUCUACCCGUGUGAAGAAUAGAUUCUUUAUUGGACUUAAUUUUUGCUAGGUGUGCAUUCAAUCUCGUAUUCAUAAAUGCACUAGUCCGUUAGAAUCUAUUUCAUGCCUUUGCUAUACAUAUUCUUAUAUUGAUUUGCUUCUAAAUAAUGAUCAAUAAAUUCAAUAUGAAGAAGUAAAUUUCCUACGAUUGAUUAAAAUGUUUAAAGGGUGCAUAUUCCUCUUUCCUAAAGAUGUGCACUAACGUUAAGGAAUUUACUUCAAGUAUAUGUGAAUUUUGGAUGAUGAAUUGUGUUUAUAUUCCUUAUCUAAAAGAAAUCAUUCUUCAUCAUGUACUCCCUUGUGCUAUUAGCAUCUCUCUUGAGUAUUUUCAAUAAGUUUGGAAGGAAAAAGAGACAACUACAAAGGGAGGACACUCAAAUGAAAAAGGAAGACAUCAAGAGCAACAACACCUGCUUGGAUAAUGAGAUCUUCAAAACAAUCAAUGGUGUGGUUGUAAGCAUUCUAAAUCUUUUUCAUUGUGAGAAUACUAGGCAUAAAAUGUUUAUUGCAAAUCUUGUAAGCCUUGAUCAAGAUGAAUGGUGCUUCUCCCUAUUCGUCUCUAAAGUUGAAUGCAUCUAUUCCUUUCAUUUCAAUUCUUUGAUGCAUAUCUCUAGGGGGAGCCUAUUUCUAUAUCCUGAUCAUAUCGAGACUAUCGCUUUAUCCAAGUAAUCUCAUAUAGUCUCAUGUAUGAGAAUAAGUUUCUCAUGAAGUAUGCUACUACAUAUCAAUCCAACUUGUUAAAAUAAUGUCGCUCUUAUCAAGGAUUGCUGCUCUCAUUGUUAAAAUAACAUAUUUACUGGAUUCUCCUACUUCAAAGCUUAUAUAAUGCAUAUGUUAUUCUUUUGAUCGCAUCUGUUGUGUGUUUGAUCAUUGAAUAGCUUCAAUUAACACUUAUGCUUCUUAGUGCACCAUGUAAUCUCAAUCAAUAUCUCUCUUGUGCACUAAGUUAAAAGGAGAAUUCAUGAUACAUUUAUGCAAUUUGUGAUCUACUUGAUAUAUAAUAACAAUGACUUAUAAAAGGAUCACUAGUUGUAGAACCCUCUCUUGUGCAAAAUAUUUCCAUGUAUUGUCUUGAGUAUAGGUCUUAAGCGACUAAGACUAAGGACAAAGCACAAUAAAGAGAGCAUCUCUAAGUGAAGGUACAAAAGGGUAAAACAACUUCCUUUCAUUUUUACUUGUACCUAAAUCUUCCUUUUUCAUACCUUCUUUGCAUAUCUUGUAUAAAAGGAAGAGAAAGCAUGUUCAUGCAUUAACCCUGCUUCAUACCUAGUUUAACUUCUCAAACAUUCAUUCUUGCAUCUUUGUUAAAACCGGGUGAAGUAAUUUUAUUGUCAAGAGCUUAAAGCUUAACCUUGUAACGAGGGUAAGCUGCCUUUGUUCCAGAGGUGGAUGGUCCUUAAGCCUCUUUAAAAUCCUUAAAGGUAAAUGCUUGAAACAUUUAUAACAUGUUUCAUAAGUGCAUAAACUGUCAUGAGCAUCACACUUAUACUAUGACACAAUGCACUUCACAUUCUCUAUGAUAUAGACAUAAUCUCAUUAACCUAAUUAUGUGCACUUGGCAUUUAAGACCAUAUAUCUGUAUUCCUCUCAAAGCACAUAUUUAGGGGGAGCAAUCUAUAUUAUAUAGAAUUGUUUAAGCUUAAUUGACAUAUCCUUUUCAUCAUGUCUCUUUCCCUUGGUACAUUUGCAUAUUUCCUAUCUCUAUUGUGCCAAGGCUAAGACUAGUAUGUUUCCAUGAGUAUCGUAUGUAUUAAGUCUUAGAUUGAAAGGGAAAUGGAGUAUUCGGCAAAGACAUCGCUUCCACUCAACUCCAUUGGUAUUAUCCACUCUUUGCCGAUAUUCCGCCAUCUCUCCAAUUUGGUAUAAUCUUCACUCAUAUAUUGUUUGCCAAAGGGGGAGAGAACGUAAAAAAGAGGGGCUUAUAUUUCACUCAAGUAUCCGUUUUUGGCGAUUCAUGCCAAAGGGGGAGAAAGUAUUAGCCCAAAGCAAAAGGACCGCACCACCACCAAUUUUAAAGAUUUUUCAAUUGGUGAUUUUUCAAUCGAUAUCUUAUUUUUGUUAGAACUUCAAAUUGGUAUAUCCCCUUUUUCAAAAUUAAUAUCUAAAACCCUCUUGAACACUAAGAGGAGGAUUUUAUUGAGGGGGAGUUUUGUUUAGUCAAAGGAAAAGCAUUUGAAACAGGGGGAGAAAAUUUCAAAUCUUGAAAAUGCUUCUCAAAAUCUUAUUCAUAUACCUUUGACUAUUUGCAAAAAGACUUUGAAAAGAAUUUCCAAAAGAAUUUGCAAAAACAAAACAAGUGGUGCAAGCGUGGUCCAAAAUGUUAAAUUAGAAGAAAUCAAUUCAUGCAUAUCUUAUGAAAUGUAAAUUGGUCUAAUUCCAAGUAACCUUUGCACUUACCUUAUGCAAACUAGUUCAAUUCUGCACUUAUAUAUUUGCUUUGGUUUGUGUUGGCAUCAAUCACCAAAAAGGGGGAGAUUGAAAGGGAAAUAGGCUCAAACCUUUUCCUAAAUGAUUUUGGUGGUUGAAUUGCCUAACACAAAUAAUUAGACUAACUAGUUUGCUCUAGAUUAUAUGUUCUACAGGUGUCAAAGGUUCAUCUACAACUAUUCUAAAUCUACUGUCCGGAAUACCGUAGAUUAUUCCGGACAGGAGAAGCUUUUUGGAAAAACAGACUAAGCACGGACCGUCCAGGCCCUUGCGGCGGACCGUCCGCGACACCGCUUUGACUUCGACCAGGAACUAUAAAUCAUGGAUAGUCUGACUAAACCGCGGACCGUCCAGCUACAACGCGCGGACCGUCCGGCUAUAAUUCACGGACAGUCCGCAUGUGAAGACCUGGUUCAGCCCGAAGGUGACAAGUUGAGCAAAAGGAAUUAUAUAGCUGGCGCGGACAGUCCGGGACCAAGGGUGGACCGUCCGCAUGGUGUCACCAAGGCAGAUAGCCGUUGAUCUAACCGUUGAUCUGUCAGAAAUAUCCGUUGAAGAUGUCAGAAUCGACCGUUGGAGGGUUGCGGACCGUCCGCCAGUGCAAUUUCUCGCAGAUGCGCCCCAACGGCUAUAUGGGUGGUUGAGGGCUAUAAAUACCACCCCAACCGGCCACUUCAAGGAGAGGGAGCCCAAGCAACAUUUCAAGUCAUCUAGUUGACAUAUUCAAGCCCUCCCAACCACCUCUAUUCAUUGAUCCAUCCUAUACACAAGAUUUAGACCACUACAAACCACACAAGUGCCACAAAAGAGAGAGCAAGCAAAAGGAAGCCUCUUGUGAGAGUUUAGCUCUAGUGCCUUGUGAGAUUCAUUGAGAGAUAGUGUGUGCUACAUCUUUGUGUUCAUUUGCGCGUGGAGUUUUGACUCCCAUUGAACUUCCUUCAAAGUUUUGGAGGCUUGUAAAGCUAGCAAGAGACACCAAAGAGUGUGGUGAUCCUUGUGGGGUCUUUGGUGAUCCUUGAGAAGAAGAAGAGCUCGCCGGUCUUGUGUGAUCGGUGGAGAGAGGGAAAGGGUUGAAAGAGACCCGUCCUUAGUGGACUCCUCAACGGGGACUAGGCCUUCGAGGGCCGAACCUCGGCAAAACAAAUCACCCGUGUCUCGUGUGCUUAUUGCUUGUGAUUUGUUUGUCCUUUCCCCUUCUAAAUUUUUCUUGCACUACUCUUUGCUAAUUCUAUUUGGUGUUGCUUUAUGUUAAAUUCUCAUUUAGUGAAGCAACACAUUGCAAGAGAGAACUUGUGUUAUUGCUCUUCUUAACUAAGCCCUCUUGCUUUAUUCUCAUAGACUUAUUAGUAGUAUUGAUUUAUCAAUUUCGCAUUAUUUGAAAGCAAUACUCUUUACAAGCAAGAACUUAGUUUUUAUACUCCGACAAUUGUAUAUCUUGUUCUAACCACUAAUCAAGGGAUCUAGUUGGGGUGUAAAGUUAUAAUUUUCAGGUUUCGCCUAUCCACCCCCCUCUAGGCGACUUUCAUAGCCGCAUGUUGGCGACAACAGGGGCGGUGAUGAGUGGCAGCACGUCGCCCCCCGCCAUGUUGUCGGGGCAGUCGGAUGCCCCGAAGGAGAUGGUGGUGCCCCUCCACCGUUGGUGUGGAGCGGUUUUGGGGACCCCUAGGACCGCCGAAAGAACCUCCCGUCGCAGGGACUUGACACUCCUGCGGGAGAUGAGCUCCCAGCUUCCGCCGUACAUCACAUACAACUUCUUGCGACGGUCGCCAUCGUCGCUGGAGUCAGAAUCUCCGGUGAAAAUGUCCUUUAGGAACCCCUCGGGCGACUGGUAGCCGAGGUCUCGUCCCUCCAUAGCCGCGGCCUUUCCGUCAGCUCCCUUCUGGGCUGGCCGACGGUGGGGCGGCGAGCCGUCCUUGGAGGACUGCUCGCGCCGCUCGCUGACGCGCCUUGCGAGUUUGAUAAUCUCACGGCAAUCUGUGGCACGGUGGCGGCUGUUGGGGUGCACUGGGCAUGUGCCACCGCUGCUUCCCUGGGGCCAUGGGCGCUUGCUGCGCUCGCCUUGACUCCCGGCAGCGGCAGCAACAACUGAAACAGCGAGCUGCGGCUUUUCGUGGCCGCGGUUCUUGUUUCUCUUUUUCUUCUUGCCUCCGCCCUGGGUGACGACAUCCGAGCUGCCCACCUUGGUAACCUCGGCCUGUGGUACCGAGUGCCAAGCACGGCCCUCAGCGGCUCUGGCGCAUUUGUCAGCUAGCAAAGAGUGUGGUGACGUUAUCCACAUCAUGCGUGGCCAACUUCUCCAGCAUCUUUUCAUCACGUACCCCCUGGCAGAAAGCAGUGAUGAUGGAAGCAUCCGAGAUACGGGGGAUUGUCCCAUGUACCUUGGUGAAGUGGGAAAUGAACACUCGGAGGGUCUCCCCGGGUUCCUGUCUUACUGCGUGGAGGUGUGCCUCUACACCGUGCCGCUGGUAAGCGCUAGCGAAGUUUGCCACGAACCGUGCGCAGAGCUCUUCCCAGGAGUAGAUGGAACCUAGGGCUUGGUUCAUGAGCCAAGUCCGGGCUGGCCCAGAUAAGGCUACAUGGAAGUAGGUUGCCAUUACGGCGGUGCCUCCAAUUGCUACCGUAAUGGCGGUGACAUAAACCUGCAGGAAUUCUGACGGGUUUGUCGUACCGUCGUAUUUUUCUGGCAGAUGUGGCCGAAACUUGGGUGGCCACGUUGCCGCGCGGAGGUGGUCCGCUAGGGCGGCGCAACCCACUCCAGCCAACGGGAUGCUGGUCUGGAAUCGAGCAUCCCCUGGGACCAGCGGCGCGGCCGCAGCGAAAUCUUGCCCGAGGUUGCCGCAGUGCUCACGCGCCUUCCCUAAAGAGAUACAUGCAUCUUUGCCCGCACGUCUGCGAUUGAGUUCAUCCCGCAGGUCUUCUGGUCCCUCUGGAGGAACUUGCGCGUCUCCUUCUGCGCGUCUGCGGUUGAGCUCCGUUCGCAGAUCUUCGGUCGGGGCAGUCCUCACCGGGGGCGAACGCUCCGAGGCUGAUGCCUCGUACUGGCGCCGAGACGAUCAAGGUUUGGGCCUGAUCGAGCCAAUGUGCGCCAUGGUAAGAAGGCGAUCCACGUCGUCGCGCCACUGCCUCAUAGCCCCUGGCGAGGCCGUGGGGCUUGGUAGGUGGCGCAACAACUCUCUGGCCACACAGAGCGCUCCGACGGGAGCAUCCCCUGACGGGGUUUGGGAUGCCUGCGCUGGCGUGUGCCGCCGUGCGGGGCGCACGGCUGCAGCACCGAGUGUUGGGUGGCCAGAGCUCUGCGGCGUAGAAGAUGCGGCCUCUUCCUCCAUGGGGAAGUCUUCAGAGGUCUCGUCACAAUGCUCGGCGAUAUGGACCAUAGUGCCGAACAGGAAAACAAGCAAAAACCUAAUGCCUAGGCCCCUACCUGGCGCGCCAAAUGUCGGAGAGCAAAUCUCCGGCCGGGUGGCGGAGUGCACCCGCUCUAAAUCCUAAGAUGAGGAGGGGCCUAAGCAUUUUGCUUGUUAGUCGGGAAAACGAGAAGAACACAAGAACACACAAGGAUUUAGAGUGGUUCGGGCCGCUAGAGCGACCCUACUCCACUGUGUGAUGUAUUGCUCGUGAGCUUGUAUGAGCUUGUGAGUGUCUGAGUGAGCCUAAGAUUGGAUUUGUCUUGUAACGCCGCAUGCCUCCCCUUUUAUAGCUGAAGGGGGGCAUACACAAAGGUACUCAGCCCCGACAUGUGGGCCCAGGGACAUAAUGAAUAUAGCACCUGGAGCCACAAAUGUUUGCUGCUGGAGCAAUCUUCUAGUGCCCUGACGUGCGAGAUCUGCGUAUCCUCGGCGUGCAGGGGAAGCUUCUUGUAGAAGGGAUGAUGAGCACAGUGCGCCGCAUGGCACGAGCGCACUGUUUGAUGAUAGAUUGGGCAGGCGCGCCGUCUGACGCCAUCUGCCAGCGGAGAAGACUGGACGCAUUAAAUGCCGAGAGGGCACAUCGCUCGUCGGCUUGGUGGCAGGCGACGCGUCCUCUCUGCAAUAAAUGCAGAGACUGCGCGGCUUUAGUGGCCCGACGUCAGGCUCCGCCGGUUGGCUUAUGUCAUGGGCCACAAGCCACGCGGCAGCAGCGGGUCUCCGCCUGAGCGGGGAGCCCAGUGCAAGCCCUGGACACGUGCCAGCACCGGACCCUUUCUAGGGCAGGGUCCGAUAUUCCCUGCCCCAGAAUCCCAGGACCCGGUGGUGAUCUGUCCGGACCCCACUCGGAAGGGUACGGGAUCACUCUCGGAGGUCCGCCCGUCAUGUACGGGGUCCGGUGCUUUCCACGUAGCAGGUCCGGACCCACUGCGUGUAUCUGGAGCAUGUCCUUUCCCUUGGCCACGUGGCGACCCCAAGGCGGCUGAUGUUGCGCGACGGUGAGCUGUUCGCCGCGCAACCAGAGACUUCUCCGCUGGCACAACGCCUUUACCUUGUAACAAGGGGUACCCCUGUUUAAAGGUACCUACAAAAAGAUAUUUUAUUUUUUAAACAUUUAAAGAAUUUCUCUAAAUGUCAAAAAAUUUGAGGUGUUACGUAAACUUUCAGUUGAUAUCAGAACACAACACUUCAUUUAGGAUCGAACGACCCGAAGUUACGUCGUGGAAACAAUUUGUGAAAAACAAGGCUUACUCACCGGAGGACAACAAGGAGAAAAACUUGAGUUCAUCCACUCGUGCCCAAAGAAGUCCCACAAGGGGAAGGGUUUAAGAAAGCUCAAGAAGAAUAUUAUGAUCCAAAUACUUUUUUAUAAUAACUUAGGACACUUAAAUAAUUUUAGGUCAAAAUAAAUAAAAAUAGUGUCCGAUUAUAAUUUAAUUUAAUCUUUAAAUUUUAUAAUGUAAAAUCUAGAUCAUAUUACCAUCUUUAAUCUCAUACCCUAUAUAUCAUCCCUAUUUAAACUUCACCAUAAACCGUGUGAGACUGUUUUACAAAAGGCACUAGGCACCACCUUUCGUGGCUUCCUCUGCUCUCCUCCACAAAGGCAGGGAAGCAGCAACACUGUAGCAGGGAGGAGAGGGUAGGCAGUCUGUCCACUGUCCACGCUGCAGAAGAGAGAGAUGGGGGUGCGGGCGGCGGCGGCAGCAGUGGCGCUGGUGGCGGUGAUGGGCAUGCUGGCGCCCCGAGCGGCGGCGCAGACGCCGAACUGCGCGGCGAAGCUGGUCCCGUGCUCGUCGUACAUGAACACGACGGGGACGCCGCCGGACACCUGCUGCGGCCCGCUCAAGGACGCCGUCAAGAACGACCUCAAGUGCCUCUGCGAUCUCUACGCCACGCCGGAGAUCUUCAAGGCCUUCAACAUCAGCCUCGACGAGGCCCUCGGCCUCUCCAAGCGUUGCGGCCUCAGCGACACCACCGCCGCCUGCAAGGGUAAUUCUACUUUCGUUUUUAUAGUUUUACCCAAGUAAAUAAAUGUUCUUCCUCUGUGUGUUCACAUGCGGUUUUCCCGCAUCCCAUUAACAGCGAUCAGUUGCAAAAGUAAGUAAAAGCGAGCAUCUUUAGCGAUCAAACUGUCUUGCUCAGAGCCCAAUGAUCGAUCUGCGCAAGUAGAAACCAGCUGGGCUUGGACCCGAUGCAUGUGACUUGCGUGUCUGCGUUAGUUGCUAGUGGCGUUGGCAAGUUGGGUACGUGUUGCCAUCUCCAUCAGGUGAACGGCAACUGCAGGGAAACAUCUAGUAGAUGCCAACAUUGAAAUGAGAUCCAUGGUCGGUGUUGAUUAAAGGCUCAGAGCCAUUAAAUUAAAAUUAUAGCUGCUGUAUGCAUGUUUCCUCAGCCUGACCCGUGAUGACGUUAGUUUAUUAAUCUAGCUGUGUGCCAGGCUGCUAGCUUGUCCUCCAUUAAAAUACCAUGACCUGAUGCUCUCAGCCCAGUAUUGGCAGUAGAAAUCAAAGCCCAUUCAGAAAAUAUGCAGUGUCAGUGUAUGAGCAUGGCACGAUGUAUAAGAGACCCAUGGUUUUGUUUAGGACUUCCGUACUGUGUGGGUUGAACUUCAUAGGGGUUCAGAAAUUCUACUCUGAAAGCCAAAUAACGGAACCCCAAAACCGUGCGCUUUGGUGUUAGGUGUGCUGUAUCUAUCCUGUCCAGGUGUUCCGUUAUCAUUCUAUACAUUAGCGGCGCGUAGUUUUUUCUUCAAAUAACUUUGAUGCGUAUCUGAAAAUCCCUUGGGAAAAGUAAGGUUGCCAAACUAACCCUAAACUUUCAUUUUACAGGCCUUUCACCUACCCAAUCUCCUCCAGGUAACCUAUAGUGCUCUUCCCCUUUCUUUGCUUGGUUACAACACUUUGUUGUGUGGUAUCUUGCUGAUUGGAACCUCCGAUUAAUGUGUUCAAACUUCAAAGUGUGAUUUUAGGAAAAAUUGAUAAAGUCGUAUAUAUUGAGUCAGAAACUUUCAGAGAAUAUGUUACUUAGCAAUGGGUGAAGCACAUGCACAUCCAAAUCAACCCCUAACCAAAGUUAGAGCACAUCGAUUGCACUAGCACGCUUAAAGUUUCUGUAUGGUUGGGCAUGGUCCCAGGGAUUACUAUUGCCAACAAUGUAGUGCAUUUAUUUGCAGAUUGGAAUCGCUUCUGUAUGUGCAUACCCAUCUAAAACCAGUCAUUGCUACUGAAACAGAUAAUAAAUGCACUGCGAAGUAGGAACUUUCGCCUGUUUAUUUGUAAGUGGUGAUAUGAUUGAUACAAAACAAAUACUCCGCAGAGACCAGUGGAGCACCAUGUCAGGAGCGUAAUUCCAUCGUAAAUGAUGGUGGCCCAACACUGCUUCACAUGAACAGUCUGUUGGGCCUGCCUAACAGGGUGAUGCUCGCAAUGUUAGUGAUGUUGCUUUUACUACAUGCUAGUCACCAAACUUGCUCAUUUUCCAUGAAGUAUCUACCCUGAACCCUUGUAGUGAGCAUGGUUAGUUGUUCCACCUCUUAACUUUUAAGUUCGAAGCAGUGGUUCAGUGCACACCACCCAUCCAGCCACCAAAAAAAAAAAGCAUGUACACCUGACUGUUUAGGUGGAACUACUGAAUUAGCUCACAUCAUAUGUCAACCGCAACUUCACCUCAAAUAGCACCUAGAAAAUGUAAUUCGUCAUCACAAACUCCUUGUACUUGCAGGUUCACCAUCAGGUGGUGGCAGUGGCAGCAACUCCGGUCAUCACACUCUGUCGGUCGGUUUCUCAGGAUUCAUGAGCUUCUUGUCGCUAGCCUUGUGGUCUGUAUUAGCAUAAAGUUUAGGAUGCUGCAGUGGACAUUGCCUGUCUUAUCCCACAAGAUGAUUUGCACCUACGACACAAUCAACAUUUGUCUUGCUGUGUAUUGAUAUGGCCAGCCAGUAGACUGAUGUCUCUGAACCAUGUGCUUGCAUUAGACUGCACAAUUGGUCCUUCGCCCAAUUGUUCCAAAGAGUGCUUCCAUGAACUUAGACCGAAGAGUGUCUCCAAGGUCAGCUGUGGGAAGGUUCUUAAGUCCUUCGCCCAAUUGUUCCAAACCUCUGCAAGAUUAUUGGUAAUGUGAUCACAUUUUAUCUCCUCUGAAAAUUUGCAAUUGGUCCAUUUCAAACUAUGAUGUUCUUCCAACCAACGCUUCACGUAUAUACUUGCUUCAUAUAUCUUAUUCGUUAGGUACUCAUGAUGUUCUAGCCGGAAAGUCCUAGCUGCAGGAUACGUUUUCCCAUAAGCAGGCUCUCUAUAUGUGUGUUUGGUUGUAAUGACGGAACGGAACGAUCGCUUAAAUAAGGUUGUUUUGUUCAGUACCAGAGGUGUGAUAGGAUUAUCACAGUGAUGUCUCCAGGGCCAUAUAAACCCGUUACAUGAAAUGCACCAAAGCCAAAACAAGCCACCCCUGCAAGAAAUAAAUGAAUUCCAAAGAUCUUGGGCAAAUCCAAAGAAGGUUUUCCCGUCCGCUCAUCACAGAAUAUUUCUAGGUCCCAAUAUACCCAAUGCCAGAUAGCUGCCAAGAGACACAAGCCAGAAAACACAAUAUGCGCACCUGCCACACCUUCAUAACUCCAAAUACCCGGAUUCGUUACAGUUCCUCCUGAAAUACUCCAACCACCCCACGAACCUC
rnacentral:lncRNA from 1 species